GACGAACGCUGGCGGCGUGCUUAACACAUGCAAGUCGAACGGUGAAGCGCCUUCCUUUUUGGUGGGUGUGGAUGAGUGGCGAACGGGUGAGUAACACGUGAGUAACCUGCCCCCUUCUUCUGGAUAACCGCAUGAAAGUGUGGCUAAUACGGGAUAUUCUGGGUCUGUCGCAUGAUGGGUCUGGGAAAGAUAUUGUUUCGGUGGGGGAUGGGCUCGCGGCCUAUCAGCUUGUUGGUGGGGCGAUGGCCUACCAAGGCGGUGACGGGUAGACGGCCUGAGAGGGUGGACGGUCACACUGGGACUGAGACACGGCCCAGACUCCUACGUAGGCAGCAGUGGGGAAUAUUGCACAAUGGGCGCAAGCCUGAUGCAGCGACGCCGCGUGAGGGAUGGAGGCCUUCGGGUUGUGAACCUCUUUCGCCAGUGAAGCAGGCCUGCCUCGUUUGUGGGUGGGUUGACGGUAGCUGGAUAAGAAGCGCCGGCUAACUACGUG
rnacentral:rRNA from 1 species